GAAAUGCGAUAAGUAAUGUGAAUUGCAGAAUUCAGUGAAUCAUCGAAUCUUUGAACGCACCUUGCGCUCCUUGGUAUUCCUUGGAGCAUGCCUGUUUGAGUAUCAUGAAAUCUUCAAAGUAAAUCUUUUGUUAACUCAAUUGGUUUCUACUUUGGUAUUGGAGGUCUUUGCAGCUUCACACCUGCUCCUCUUUGUUCAUUAGCUGGAUCUCAGUGUUAUGCUUGGUUCCACUCGGCGUGAUAAGUUAUCUAUCGCUGAGGACACUGUAAAAGGUUGCCAAGGUAAAUGCAGAUGAACCGCUUCUAAUAGUCCAUUGACUUGGACAAUACUUUUAUGAUCUGAUCUCAGAUCAGGUAGGACUACCCGCUGAACUUAAGC
rnacentral:misc_RNA from 1 species